CCUACGGGAGGCAGCAGUGGGGAAUAUUGCGCAAUGGGCGAAAGCCUGACGCAGCGACGCCGCGUGAGGGAUGAAGGUCUUCGGAUCGUAAACCUCUGUCAGCAGGGAAGAACGGUCACUGUGCUAAUCAGCAGUGCAUUGACGGUACCUGCAAAGGAAGCACCGGCUAACUCCGUACCAGCAGCCGCGGUAAUACGGAGGGUGCGAGCGUUAAUCGGAAUUACUGGGCGGAAAGCUCUCGUAGGCGGUAUGUCAAGUCAAGGGUGAAAUCCCCGCGCUCAACGUGGGAACUGCCUUUGAAACUGGAAAACUGGAGUGUGUUAGAGGAUAGUGGAAUUGCAGGUGUAGGAGUGAAAUCCGUAGAUAUCUGGAGGAACAUCAGUGGCGAAGGCGACUAUCUGGCACAUAACUGACGCUGAGGAGCGAAAGCGUGGGUAGCAAACAGGAUUAGAUACCCGAGUAGGC
rnacentral:rRNA from 1 species